GAAAACUUGGAUGCUUAUGCAUCGUGCGAAAAGAAUAAUGGCUGCAGCAUUUCACUAUCACCGACCAUUCAUAAUUAUUCAACUGUGGAAAAAAUGUUUCCAAUUUCUUCUUUUUACAAAAUCGAAGGAUGCAUAGAAAGACUCACCAAAUGGAUUACAAUUAGAUUUCACCCAAAGCGGCAAAACUAUGAGCAAAAAUCAAAGAAACAGCCAUCAACUUCUACAAUUCCACGUGUCUCGCCCUUUCUCUCUCCUUCCUCUCCAUUACAACAAGCUCCUCCCCUGAUACUCGAUUUCUCAGUCACCUUUU
rnacentral:misc_RNA from 1 species